UAACAACGGUUUUCAAAAUUC
rnacentral:piRNA from 1 species